rnacentral:rRNA from 1 species
AUUGAACGCUGGCGGCAGGCUUAACACAUGCAAGUCGAGCGGGGUGAUGGUGCUUGCACUAUCACUUAGCGGCGGACGGGUGAGUAAUGCUUAGGAAUCUGCCUAUUAGUGGGGGACAACAUCUCGAAAGGGAUGCUAAUACCGCAUACGUCCUACGGGAGAAAGCAGGGGAUCACUUGUGACCUUGCGCUAAUAGAUGAGCCUAAGUCGGACUAGCUAGUUGGUGGGGUAAAGGCCUACCAAGGCGACGAUCUGUAGCGGGUCUGAGAGGAGGAUCCGCCACACUGGGAAUGAGACACGGCCCAGACUCCUACGGGAGGCAGCAGUGGGGAAUAUUGGACAAUGGGGUGAACCCUGAUCCAGCCAUGCCGCGUGUGUGAAGAAGGCCUUAUGGUUGUAAAGCACUUUAAGCGAGGAGGAGGCUCUUUUGGUUAAUACCCAAGAUGAGUGGACGUUACUCGCAGAAUAAGCACCGGCUAACUCUGUGCCAGCCGCCGCAGUAA